rnacentral:lncRNA from 1 species
UUGAAAACUUUUAGGCAAGAAGAGUGCAAGAAGCUGACAUAACAACUGCAUUUAUUUCCAUAAUUCCCCAUUUGAAUGGCCUUUUCUUUUUGCUUAGAGACUGCCUACGGCUAGCAACAGCAGCUCCCUCAUACAGACUCCGCAAGCCAAGAGGCCGUGGAGGCAAAUGCAGGCAGCCAGCACACCUUGAACAGCCACCUUGACUGCGGGUGUGUCACCCUAGUCGCCAAGGAAACAUUUAAGGGAAAGCGACAGGCAAUGUGAACAGCCACUUCUCCGUGUAAACGAUACUCUUUCUCUCGGAUGACUCCUACGCCUCGCCACGCCAGUACACUUGUGCACAAAGAUGCCGCGGAGGCACGUGCAGGUCAGACCCAAGAAGCAGUGGCACUGGUGUCGACAUUGACCCAAUUUCUUUUUCUUACACUGAGGCAGCCAGCACACCUCGAACAGCCACCUUGACUGCGGGUGUGUCAGUAGAUUCAUGUUGUACAUAUGCUCAUAAUAAACUUCAGUAAACUUGAACUUGAUAAUAAACUUGAAGGCAAAUGGAA